GGAGGCACUUCCCCUGCACUGGGUGUGGGGUAGGGCCCUCCCUGCUGCUGGGGUCUGAGUUAAACUCAGCCCUCUCACAGGCUGGAGGUGGAGGGAGGAGGAGGAGGGAGUGAGUAAAGGGAGAGAGAAGAGGGGAUGGUCCCCAAACACCCUGCAGGAGCCCGGCCUCAGGCCCGAGCCCUGGGAACAGAGGGCGGGUUUGUGCAAGUGGCUCCGUCCAGCCCUGCAGUGCGACCUUGGGCUUCGGCACGCGUCCUCGCCUGCCAGCUGGACCAGGUACCUUCUGAGGCCAAGCCUAAACCCACCACCAUCGGGUGGGGGGCGCUGCCUUCACCUUGGCCUCGAGCUCUGUGAUUCCUCCCACCCGCACUCCCCCCACAGCAUCAUUCUAACCACUGGUUUCCGUGUCUGUGCUCCUGGCCACGGUGUCUCACAGACAGAAUCCUCUCUACUCGGCCACUUCCUGGACCAGAAAACUGGAGGGCGAGCCCCUCCCCCACUGUCUGAGGCCCGAAGCCCCAACGCCUAG
rnacentral:lncRNA from 9 species